rnacentral:tRNA from 1 species
GGGCCUAUAGUUCAGAGGUAGAAUUUCGGUCUCCAAAACCGAAGACCUUGGUUCGAUUCCAAGUGGGCCCGCAA